CCUACGGGGGGCAGCAGUGGGGAAUUUUGGACAAUGGGCGCAAGCCUGAUCCAGCUAUUCCGCGUGUGGGAUGAAGGCCCUCGGGUUGUAAACCUCUUUUGUCGGGGAACAAAGGCGCCCACGGGUGGGCGGAUGAGUGUACCCGAAGAAAAAGCAUCGGCUAACUCCGUGCCAGCAGCCGCGGUAAUACGGAGGAUGCGAGCGUUAUCCGGAUUUAUUGGGUUUAAAGGGUGCGUAGGCGGACAGUCAAGUCAGCGGUAAAAAUGCGGUGCUCAACGCCGUACAGCCGUUGAAACUGGCAGUCU
rnacentral:rRNA from 1 species